GACGAACGCUGGCGGCGUGCUUAACACAUGCAAGUCGAACGGUGAAGCGCCUUCCUUUUUGGUGGGUGUGGAUGAGUGGCGAACGGGUGAGUAACACGUGAGUAACCUGCCCCCUUCUUCUGGAUAACCGCAUGAAAGUGUGGCUAAUACGGGAUAUUCUGGGUCUGUCGCAUGAUGGGUCUGGGAAAGAUAUUGUUUCGGUGGGGGAUGGGCUCGCGGCCUAUCAGCUUGUUGGUGGGGUGAUGGCCUACCAAGGCGGUGACGGGUGGCCGGCCUGAGAGGGUGGACGGUCACACUGGGACUGAGACACGGCCCAGACUCCUACGGGAGGCAGCAGUGGGGAAUAUUGCACAAUGGGCGCAAGCCUGAUGCAGCGACGCCGCGUGAGGGAUGGAGGCCUGCGGGUUGUGAACCUCUUUCGCCAGUGAAGCAGGCCUGCCUCGUUUGUGGGUGGGUUGACGGUAGCUGGAUAAGAAGCGCCGGCUAACUACGUG
rnacentral:rRNA from 1 species